rnacentral:rRNA from 1 species
UACGAAGGGGGCUAGCGUUGCUCGGAAUUACUGGGCGUAAAGGGCGCGUAGGCGGCACUGUUAGUCAGGCGUGAAAGUCCUGGGCUCAACCCGGGAACUGCGUCCGAUACUGGCAGGCUUGAAUUCGGGAGAGGGAUGCGGAAUUCCAGGUGUAGCGGCGAAAUGCGUAGAUAUCUGGAGGAACACCGGUGGCGAAGGCGGCAUCCUGGACCGAGAUUGACGCUGAGGCGCGAAAGCCAGGGGAGCAAACGGG